rnacentral:rRNA from 1 species
AGAGUUUGAUCCUGGCUCAGAACGAACGCUGGCGGCAGGCUUAACACAUGCAAGUCGAGCGCCCCGCAAGGGGAGCGGCAGACGGGUGAGUAACGCGUGGGAAUCUACCUUUUGCUACGGAAUAACUCAGGGAAACUUGUGCUAAUACCGUAUGUGCCCUUUUGGGGAAAGAUUUAUCGGCAAAGGAUGAGCCCGCGUUGGAUUAGCUAGUUGGUGGGUAAAGGCCUACCAAGGCGACGAUCCAUAGCUGGUCUGAGAGGAUGAUCAGCCACACUGGGACUGAGACACGGCCCAGACUCCUACGGGAGGCAGCAGUGGGGAAUAUUGGACAAUGGGCGCAAGCCUGAUCCAGCCAUGCCGCGUGAGUGAUGACGGUCUUAGGAUUGUAAAGCUCUUUCACCGGUGAAGAUAAUGACGGUAACCGGAGAAGAAGCCCCGGCUAACCUCGUG